GUCCUGCCUGCCCAGUGACAUUAAGUUUAACGGCCGCGGUAUUAUGACCGUGCAAAGGUAGCGUAAUCACUUGUCUUUUAAAUAAAGACCAGUAUGAAUGGCAAGACGAAAGUUCAACUGUCUCCCUAAAUUAAUCAGUGAAAUUGAUUUCUCCGUGCAGAAGCGGAGAUAUGACUAUAAGACGAGAAGACCCUAUGGAGCUUUAAACAUAAAAUCAACUGUAAGACAUAAAAUCCGAAAGAGUAAAUAUAAAGUAAAACAGUCUGAUUAAAAUUUUAGGUUGGGGCGACCACGGAGAAAAACAAAACCUCCGAGAUGAAGAGAAUAUCUUAAUUUAAGAACUACAAUUCUAAAAAAUAAAAUAUUUAACAUAAUUGAUCCAAUACUUUGAUCAACGAACCAAGUUACCCUAGGGAUAACAGCGCAAUCCUCUCCAAGAGUCCCUAUCGACGAGUGGGUUUACGACCUCGAUGUUGGAUCAGGACACCCCGAUGGUGCAGCCGCUAU
rnacentral:rRNA from 1 species